UUUCUUGUAUUUUACUUGAAGAAGCUAAAUAUAAACUAAGAGAUGCUAUCAGUAGCAAAGAAAAAGAAACAACUGAAUUAAAACAAGAAAUAUCAAUGGCUCAGGUACCUGAGGAAGAAUCAUUGUCUGUUCAAAGUGAUACUGAAUCAAUUAAAAAAGAAGAAUCACUUUAUGAAGAGUUGACUGUAUUGAGCUUUCAGUUUAAUGAGAUAA